rnacentral:rRNA from 1 species
CCUACGGGUGGCAGCAGUGGGGAAUUUUGGACAAUGGGCGAAAGCCUGAUCCAGCAAUGCCGCGUGUGUGAUGAAGGCCUUCGGGUUGUAAAGCACUUUUGGCGGGGACGAAAAGGACUGUGCCAAUACGACGGUUCGAUGACGGUACCCGCAGAAUAAGCACCGGCUAACUACGUGCCAACAGCCGCGGUAAUACGUAGGGUGCAAGCGUUAAUCGGAAUUACUGGGCGUAAAGAGGGCGCAGGCGGUUUUGCAAGACCGAUGUGAAAUCCCCGGGCUUAACCUGGGAACUGCAUUGGUGACUGGAAGGCUAGAGUGUGUCAGAGGGAGGUGGAAUUCCGCAUGUAGCAGUGAAAUGCGUAGAUAUGCGGAGGAACACCGAUGGCGAAGGCAGCCUCCUGGGAUAACACUGACGCUCAUGCACGAAAGCGUGGGGAGCAAACAGGAUUAGAUACCCCGGUAGUC